GUUUUUUAUUUCCAAAUAAUCUCAAUACAUUCUAAACUUUUAUUGUGUAUGUGUAAAGACAGAGUCAAAUCCUUCCAGGUCGUGAAACCCAUCCAGAUAAGAACUCCCAAUGGUGCACAGGUGUAAGUUGGAUAAUAAGAGGUGUGCACAUGCUGCAAUACAGCCAGCUACAACCCCCAUAUUCCAUUAAUGAUCCUUCCGCAGGUUCACCUACGGAAA
rnacentral:misc_RNA from 1 species